CUCCAUUAAAACUGAACAGUUUGCAGGGCUUAAGAAUUGGCAGAAUCUGGUAUCGUUGUAGGUCAGUCAACCAGUUCACGUCCAUCUUGUGAAGAACAUUGAAUUGUUGGAUAUUACUUCAUUCUCAAAUUCAUUUAACUAUGCAAACUAAUGCAGGUCUGGAUACAUGCCUGAAGCCUUUCAAGGAUCGUGAUGAUGCCAAAUGAAAGGGAUGGAUACUUAACCGAGAGAAUCUUUUUUUCCAAAGAAUGGAAGGUGUAUUGUGUUGCUUGAUGCUUAGUGUGGUUUAAAUGCCAAGUCAUGGAAUGCUAUUAGCGUACAUGUGUCAUGAGAUUAUUCCACUUUUUUAAAACAUCCCAAUGUGGAAUUAGAGAUUUGUGGAGGGGUGCUUCUGAAAGUGAAGGCGUCACAUCUGAUCCAGUAUGGGCUUCUUCCAAUUAUGCCAUAGCUAAAGUUAAGUUUGAACUCUUUGCAAUGGAUGCUUAUAGACCAUUUUUAAUUUGUCUACUUUUUAGAAUGUUCAAUUGCACAAAGAUGCACUUUUUUUUUCUAACUACCAUCACUUUAAUUGUAAAUGACACUUAAGUUUUUUUUUUCACCUUUCAAAAUGGUAGCAUUCCACACUAGUGAUUCCUAUUUUCGAAGUUGACCUUUUUUGUUCUGGAAGGAUUUUGGAGAUGUCAGUGGUUGACCAGUACAGUAACUUGCAGUCACAAUGGUGUUUUUCAACAUUCACUACUGGAAUAACUCAUACGUGAAUGAUUUGGACUUGACAGUACAAGGUCUAAGCUUUGAAACUUGCCGAUGAUUAACUUGAAAGUGUAUGGUGAGAAAGGUGAUUAGCUUUUAAGGGGGCAUGGUUAGGCUGAUGCAAUAAAUUGAUAACUGACAGAAGUUACCGUGCAGAAAAACAUGAGGUCAUGUGAGGAGAAUACAAGGGAUAUAAUGCUGGCAUUUCCUUUUUUAAAUAUUGUAUUCAGAUCUGGGGCGAUUUUUGUGUUCAAAUCAUUUUGAAGUGGCAUAGAAUCCUGGGCUUUCUAAUUUGAGACACAGAACACAAAGGUCAUGAUGUUGUACUGACACCAGUUCAACAACCUCUGACAUUGUCACUUUUUUUAAAGUGCUGCAAUUUGAAGGCUACAAAGCUUAUGGAGGAGCUGUAGAAGAGGGGUCUAAAAUGGUUUGAGAUGAAUAAUUGGUGCCAUGAGCAGAUUGGAAGCACUCAGUUGGUGUUUUUUUGAGCAGAGAAUGUUUGAUUUUAAGUUCAAUUAAACUAUUAAAUGAAUAAAGUUUAAAAAUGAAACUUUUGGCUGAACAUUCUAAAAAGUCAGAUGCUGCAGUGCAUUUGUGAUGGUUUCAUUCCUCUGAGUGCCAGCCGCUAAUUAUAGUAUGGAGCACAAGCCAAGUUACAGUAGUUGUUUACUUCGAUCAUUCACUGCCUACGCAUUAAAUGUACUGAAGAUCAGA